rnacentral:rRNA from 1 species
ACAGAGGGUGCAAGCGUUAAUCGGAGUUACUGGGCGUAAAGGGCGCGUAGGCGGAUAUUUAAGUCGGUUGUGAAAUACCUGGGCUUAACCUGGGAAUUGCAAUCGAUACUGGAUAUCUAGAGUAUGGGAGAGGAAAGUGGAAUUCCCGGUGUAGAGGUAAAACGCGUAGACCUCGGGAAGAAACCUAGCGCGAAGGCGCCUUUCUGGACCAGUUCCGACACUGAGGCGCGAAAGCUUGGGGAGCAAACAG